rnacentral:rRNA from 1 species
UACGAAGGGGGCUAGCGUUGCUCGGAAUCACUGGGCGUAAAGGGCGCGUAGGCGGCCGUUCAAGUCGGGGGUGAAAGCCUGUGGCUCAACCACAGAAUGGCCCUCGAUACUGGAUGGCUCGAGACCGGAAGAGGUUGGUGGAACUGCGAGUGUAGAGGUGAAAUUCGUAGAUAUUCGCAAGAACACCAGUGGCGAAGGCGGCUGACUGGUCCGGUUCUGACGCUGAGGCGCGAAAGCGUGGGGAGCAAACAGG